GUAGUAUUCCCUUCGUCCCAAAAUUCUUGUCUUACAUUUGUUUAGAUACGGAUGUAUCUAAUACUAAAAUGUAACUAGAUACAUCCGUAUCUAGACAAAUUUAAGACAAUAAUUUUGGGAUGGAGGGAGUACAGA
rnacentral:pre_miRNA from 1 species